GGGCACUUUGAGAUUUUACUUGGCUAAAGGAGGAUUGUUUUUGGGAUUUUUGUUGACCAUAGGAUUUUAGUUGGGCAUCUUCACUGAAUAACACAUUCGUUAAUCUCUCAAGAAUUAAAACACGUGUAGAGGAGUCACCUGACCUGUGUGGACUGUGCGGUUCUUAAGAUGCUGACUGCCGUGUGGUCCUCAACACCUUGCACGGAUGCCAUGACCCACUCACACAUUCCUUCCAGAGACUUUCUAAAGUUGGAGCAACCUCACGCAGGUGCCCUCCAAUAAACAGAGCCUUCCCGACACCACU
rnacentral:lncRNA from 1 species